rnacentral:lncRNA from 1 species
UCCAGAGGUUUUUUUUUUUUUUUUUUUUUUCAUUUUUUCCAGAGCAGUAUAAUAACGUACUAGUAUAUCUUAUAUAAUACAAUGUUUUGAUAUAUCAGAGUUAUCAUUGUAUAAUUGAUAUCUAUUAUAUAAUUAUAUAAUAUUGAAUAGUCAGCAUUGUGUGUGGGUGUGUGUGUGUUUGUUUACAUUGUUAUUUCCUCUGUAAAACACACACACACCCUCGGCACUGGCACGCCAAGUGAUGGGACAUCUGACCUGGUGCCACAAUGAUGGUCAUUCAGCGAGGAGAUAAUAGGCAUCUGUCCGCGGGCCGGGAUGUGCCGCCCAGCUUCUGGCAGGUAGGAAUGGAAGUGCCGGCCUGUGGAUGUAAACAUGUGAUUUCCUGCCCAGUAUAAGAGCCCAGCUGACCGGCACUGCCCAGUCCAGCAGACCAUCCACCACCAGUACCACCACCACUCCACCACAGCCGGACUGACCGCUCCACCACUCCACCACCACUCAGCACUCCAGGAUGAGAGCCGGGGUCUCUGUACUGGUCUUACUGGCGUUUGCAGGGUUGGAGAGUGUUCUCUCUGCAUCUCUGGAAGCCGUGGGAAAGAAGGGAGCACUCGAUCGCAAAGCAGAGGAGAAUGCCCACCCUCAGAGAAGAGUGCUCUCUGCAUCUCUGGAGGCAGAUGAAGACAGAACUGAGGGAAACUACGGCCCUCGACAAAGAGGUUUAGUGCUUUCUGCAUCAAUGGAGGCAGACGAAGAGAGGGAUGCUCUCAGACAGAGAGAGGGCGUGAUUAUAGAGGAUGAAACCUACCUGGAGGCUGAAAGAGAGGAGUUAGAGGAUGAGGCAGAAGCUGCAGAGCAGAGGCACGAGCACGAGGCCGAGGCUGCAGAUGUGACUCCAGAAGAGGAGGCUGAUGAUCUGACAGAAGCGGAAGUGGAAGGAGCUGCUGAGAGUCACGAGCAACGGGAAGCGAAGGAGGACAGAAAAAUGGAUGAUGAGGCUGAAGACGGGGUGGGACACGCAGCAGCUUCAGAGGAAUGAUGCGGAGGAUGCUGGGUAGAGGGGGGAACGCCUGUGCCUGGAGUCGUGUUGUCCACCACAGAAGUAAACGAGGAGUGUACUGUUCUCAAUAAAAGAACCAUUAAAUACUGUACCA